rnacentral:rRNA from 1 species
GGUUUAUUGAUUAUGGCUCAGAUUGAACGCUGGCGGGAUGCUUUACACAUGCAAGUCGAACGGCAGCACGGACUUCGGUCUGGUGGCGAGUAGCGAACGGGUGGUAAUGUAUCAGACGUGCCUAGUAAGCGAGGAUAACUACGCGAAAGCGUAGCUAAUACCUGCUCCGCACUCGAAGCGGGGGACGGGCCUCGCACUAUUAGAGCGGCCGAUAUCGGAUUAGCUAGUUGGUGGGGUAACGGCUCACCAAGGCGACGAUCACAUGGCUGGUUUGAGAGGACGACCAGCCACACUGGGACGCACGGCCCAGACUCCUGCGGGAGGCAGCGAUUGGGGAAUUUUGGACGGAAACCCCUGAUCCAGCCAUCCCGCGUGCGUGAAGGCCUUCGGUUGUCAUAGCUUACUUUGGCAGGAAAAGCCAGCACAAGGAUAUGCCCCGUGCAACUGACGGUACCUGCAGAAUAAGCACCGGCUAACUACGUGCCAGCAGCCGCGGUAUGCAGCCAAGGUGCACAGCGUUAAUCGGAAUUACUGGGCGUAAAGCGUGCGCAGGCGGUUCGGAAAGAAGAUGUGAAAUCCCAGAACUUAACUUUGGAACUGCAUUUAACUACCGACUAGAGUGUGUCAGAGAGGUGGAAUUCGCGUAGCAGUGAAAUAUUGUGAAUAUGCGGAGGAAGACGCCGAUGGCGAGAGCAGCCUCCUGGGAUAACACUGACAUCAUGCGAAAGCGUGGGGAGCAAACAGGAUUAGAUACCCUGGUAGUCCCACGCCUAAACGUGUCAACUGGCUGUUUGGGCCUUCCGGGCCUUGGUAGCGCAACUAACGCGUGAAGUUGACCGCCGCAGAGAAUACGGUCGCAAGAUUAAAACUCAAGGAAUUGACGGGGACGCCGCACAAGCGGUGGAUGAUGGAUUAAUUCGAUGCAACGCGCGAAAAACCUUACCUUUACCGCUGACAUGUCUGGAAUCCCGAAGAGAUUUGGGAGUGCUCGCAAGAGAACCGGAACACAGGUGCUGCAUGGCUGUCGUCGGCUCGUGUCUGAGAUAUUAGGUUAAGUCCCGCAACGAGCGCAAUACUUGUCAUUAGUUGCUACGAAAGGGCACUCGGCAGACUGCCGGUGACAAACCGGAGGAAGGUGGGAAUGACGUCAAGUCCUCAUGGCCCUUAUGGGUAGGGCUUCACCCGUCAUACAAUGGUCGGGACAGAGGUCAUAGCCAACGCGAGGGGAGCCAAUCCCAGAAACCCGAUCGUAGUCCGGAUCGCAGUCUGCAACUCGACUACGUGAAGUCGGAAUCGCUAGUAAUCGCGGAUCCAGCAUGUCGCGGUGAAUACGUUCCCGGGUCUUAUUCACACCUUCCGUCACACCAUGGGAGGUGGGUUUUACCAGAAGUAGUUAGCCUAACCGUAAGGAGGGGGCGAUUACCGACCAGAUUUCAUGACUGGGGGUGAAGUCGUAACAAAGGUA